rnacentral:hammerhead_ribozyme from 1 species
UUCCAGCUGAUGAGUCCUAAAUAGAACGAAAUGCGCAUCUAACUGGAU